rnacentral:sRNA from 1 species
GUGAAAUUCCUCCUCUGCCCCUACCCACUUCU